UCACAUACAGACAAUAUUAUGGAAACACAUUAGCAUAGAUUUUAGUAUUGUAUUCAACACUUUUGUAGUAGUUUACUUUAACUGUAAGUUAGUCAUUUAAGCAUCUAAUGCAUGUGUAUGAAAAUGUCAUUUAAGCAUCUAAUGCAUGUGUAUGAAAAUGUUAUAUAUGUAUGUUUAACAUGGUAUUGACUACAUAUCUAAGUAGUAUUUCAGGGUUCAUCAAUUCAAUGAUGGUAAGUCUUUAAUAAAAAA
rnacentral:lncRNA from 1 species